rnacentral:rRNA from 1 species
GACGAACGCUGGCGGCGUGCCUAAUACAUGCAAGUAGGACGCAGUUGCGAACGGGGGAGUAACGCGUAGGUAACUACCUAUUAGAGGGGGAUAACUAGUGGAAACGAUAGCGAAUACCGCAUACUAGUAGAUGGGCAUGUGUUGGGUUAGCUAGUAGGUAGGGUAAUGGCCUACCUAGGAAACGAGCCAUAGCCGCCCUGAGAGGGUGAUCGGCCACACGGGAACCGAGCAACGGCCCAGACUCCUACGGGCGGCAUCAGUAGGGACUCUUCGGCAAUGGGGGGAACCCUGACCGAGCAACGCCGCGUGAGUGAAGAAGGUUUUCGGAUCGUAAAGCUCUGUUGUUAAGGAAGCGGUACUUAACCAGAAAGGGACGGCUAACUACGUGCCAGCCGCCGCGGUAAUUC